CAGUCGCCACGGGAAUACGGAGGGUGCAAGCGUUACUCGGAAUCACUGGGCGUAAAGGACGCGUAGGCGGAUUAUCAAGUCUCUUGUGAAAUCUAACGGCUCAACCGUUAAACUGCUUGGGAAACUGAUAAUCUAGAGUAAGGGAGAGGCAGAUGGAAUUCUUGGUAUAGGGGUAAAAUCCGUAGAUAUCAAGAAGAAUACCUAUUGCGAAGGCGAUCUGCUGGAACUUAACUGACGCUAAUGCGUGAAAGCGUGGGGAGCAAACAGGAUUAGAUACCCCCGUAGUCCCUGUCUCUUAUAC
rnacentral:rRNA from 1 species